ensembl:snRNA LOC120098673 U7 small nuclear RNA
GAGUGAAUAUCACUCUUUUAGAAUUUUUUUCUAGCAGGGUUUCUAACUUCUGUUGGAAAAUUCAAU